CAGUAGCCGCGGGAAUACGUAGGUGGCAAGCGUUGUCCGGAAUUAUUGGGCGUAAAGCGCGCGCAGGCGGAUAGGUCAGUCUGUCUUAAAAGUUCGGGGCUUAACCCCGUGAUGGGAUGGAAACUGCCAAUCUAGAGUAUCGGAGAGGAAAGUGGAAUUCCUAGUGUAGCGGUGGAAUGCGUAGAUAUUAGGAAGAACACCAGUGGCGAAGGCGGCUUUCUGGACGAAAACUGACGCUGAGGCGCGAAAGCCAGGGGAGCGAACGGGAUUAGAUACCCCUGUAGUCCCUGUCUCUUAUACA
rnacentral:rRNA from 1 species